rnacentral:rRNA from 1 species
UACGGAGGGUGCGAGCGUUGUCCGGAAUCACUGGGCGUAAAGGGCGCGUAGGCGGCUCAUGAAGGCUGUGGUGAAAGUCCGGGGGCUCAACCUCGGAUCGGCCGUGGCGACUCGUGGGCUGGAGCACUGUAGAGGCGGGUGGAAUUCCGGGUGUAGCGGUGGAAUGCGUAGAGAUCCGGAAGAACACCAGUGGCGAAGGCGGCCCGCUGGGCAGUGGCUGACGCUGAAGCGCGACAGCGUGGGGAGCAAACAGG